GUGCUGUCCGGCUAGACAGUAGAUGGGGAAGUUACAGUUUUAUUGGAAUUUGCGACUUUCUGAAAAAAAAGAGAGCCAAAGUCACAUAUAAAAGCGGACAUGGCAACCCUGUCAAAAAAGAGAAAAGUAUUGGACCACUUUACCUUAAAGUAUUCAACGAAAACUGAUGGUUGCAAAAGUUACAGGGCAGAACUCUCAUGACACUGGAGCCUGACUGCAAAGCUUGUGCAUUUAAAGAGAAAACACGUUGUAGCCUAAAUGACAGAAGAUGAAGAGUGCCCUGCAUGAUGCCGAGGUUACUCUUCAGACAGUCACAGAAGAGGUGGUGGUCCCAUCCACCAAUGGGGUGUCAGAUGAGAAGGAAGUGUUGGAACACAAUGGUACAGAACGAUCCGUGAGUCCACCGGGAAGAGACAAAGGUUCUCCAGAAUUGGCUUUUUGUCAUUUGGAAGAAGAGGAGGAGG
ensembl:lncRNA